rnacentral:rRNA from 1 species
UACAGAGGUCCCCGAGCGUUGUUCGGAUUCAUUGGGCGUAAAGGGUGCGUAGGCGGUCUUCUAAGUUUGAUGUGAAAUCCCCGGGGCUCAACCCUGGAAUUGCAUUGAAUACUGGAGGACUAGAGUACCGGAGAGGAAACUGGAAUUUACGGUGUAGCAGUGAAAUGCGUAGAGAUCGUAAGGAAGACCAGUGGCGAAGGCGAGUUUCUGGACGGUAACUGACGCUGAGGCACGAAGGCCAGGGGAGCAAACGGG